CACGUGCAUACGUCUUUAUACAAGCUAAAGAACACUUUAACAAAAGACCAUUGUUAUGCAAACUAUAUAAAGAUUUUUAUAUAAAGAUUUUUAUAUAAAGAUUUUGAUAUAAAGAUUUUUAUAUAAAGAUUUGACUUAUUAUGCAAAUGUUUUUGAAGUCAUUUAAAAAACUCGCAGGUCGUGUUUUAUUAGGUCUAAAGCCACUCGCGCUGCGCGCUCGUGGCUUUAAACCUAAUAAAACACUCCUGCUCGUUUUUUAAAUAGUACAUAAAAUAUU
rnacentral:lncRNA from 1 species